rnacentral:rRNA from 1 species
GAUGAACGCUAGCGGGAGGCCUAAUACAUGCAAGUCGAACGGUAAGGUCCCUUCGGGGAUACACGAGUGGCGGACGGGUGCGUAACGCGUACGAAACAUACCUUCAACAGGGAGAUACCUCCGGGAAACUGGAAAUAAUACCCCAUAGUAUUGAGAUAUCGCAUGAUAUUUCAAUUAAAGCUUUGGCGGUUGAAGAUUGUCGUGCGUCUGAUUAGCUAGUUGGUGAGGUAACGGCUCACCAAGGCGACGAUCAGUAGCUGGUCUGAGAGGAUGAUCAGCCACACUGGAACUGAGACACGGUCCAGACUCCUACGGGUGGCAGCAGUAGGGAAUAUUGGACAAUGGGCGCAAGCCUGAUCCAGCCAUGCCGCGUGAGUGAUGAAGGCCCUAGGGUUGUAAAGCUCUUUCACCGGUGAAGAUAAUGACGGUAACCGGAGAAGAAGCCCCGGCUAACUUCGUG